AUUGAACGCUGGCGGCAGGCUUAACACAUGCAAGUCGAGCGGAGUGAUGGUGCUUGCACUAUCACUUAGCGGCGGACGGGUGAGUAAUGCUUAGGAAUCUGCCUAUUAGUGGGGGACAACAUCUCGAAAGGGAUGCUAAUACCGCAUACGUCCUACGGGAGAAAGCAGGGGAUCACUUGUGACCUUGCGCUAAUAGAUGAGCCUAAGUCGGAUUAGCUAGUUGGUGGGGUAAAGGCCUACCAAGGCGACGAUCUGUAGCGGGUCUGAGAGGAUGGUCCGCCACACUGGGGCUGAGAGACGGCCCAGACUCCUACGGGGGGCAGCAGUGGGGAAUAUUGGGCAAUGGGGGGAACCCUGAUCCAGCCAUGCCGCGUGUGUGAAGAAGGCCUUAUGGUUGUAAAGCACUUUAAGCGAGGAGGAGGCUCUUUUGGUUAAUACCCAAGAUGAGUGGACGUUACUCGCAGAAUAAGCACCGGCUAACUCUGUGCCAGCAGCCGCGGUAA
rnacentral:rRNA from 1 species